AGAGUUUGAUCUGGCUCAGGAUGAACUUUGGCGGCAGGCUUAAUACAUGCAAGUCGAACGGUAACGACCGGUAGCAAUACUGGGGCGACGAGUGGCGCACGGGUGCGUAACGCGUAUGCAACCUACCCUCAAUCGGGGCAUAACGCCGAGAAAUUGGCGCUAAUAUCCCAUGUGUAUAUGGAGUGGCAUCUCUUCAUAUAUAAAGAUCCGUUGGUUAAGGAUGGGCAUGCGUAACAUUAGCUAGUUGGCGGGGUAACGGCCCACCAAGGCGACGAUGUUUAGGGGUUCUGAGAGGAUUCACCCCCACACUGGAACUGAGACACGGUCCAGACUCCUACGGGAGGCAGCAGUAGGGAAUAUUGGGCAAUGGAGGCAACUCUGACCCAGCCAUGCCGCGUGAAGGAAGACGGCCCUAUGGGUUGUAAACUUCUUUUGCCGCAGAGUAACCGCGGGGACGAGUCCCUGCCUGAGAGUAUGCGGCGAAUAAGUAUCGGCUAACUCCGUGCCAGCAGCCGCGGUAAUACGGAGGAUACGAGCGUUAUCCGGAUUCAUUGGGUUUAAAGGGUGCGCAGGCGGCCGGUCAAGUCAGCGGUGAAAUCCCGGGGCCCAACCCCGGAAGUGCCGUUGAUACUGUUCGGCUUGAAUGCGGUCGAGGCGGGCGGAACGUGGCGUGUAGCGGUGAAAUGCGUAGAUAUGCCACAGAACGCCGAUAGCGGAGGCAGCUCGCCAGGCCUGCAUUGACGCUCAGGCACGAAAGCGUGGGGAUCGAACAGGAUUAGAUACCCUGGUAGUCCACGCUGUAA
rnacentral:rRNA from 1 species